GAUUCCGUAGUGUAGCGGUUAUCACGUUCGCUUCACACGCGAAAGGUCCCCGGUUCGAACCCGGGCGGAAUCA
rnacentral:tRNA from 1 species